rnacentral:rRNA from 1 species
CCGCGGUAAUACGGAGGAUCCGAGCGUUAUCCGGAAUCAUUGGGUUUAAAGGGUCCGUAGGCGGCCCGGUAAGUCAGUGGUGAAAUCUCACGGCUCAACCGUGAAAUGGCCAUUGAUACUGUCGGGCUUGAAUUGUUGGGAAGUAACUAGAAUAUGUAGUGUAGCGGUGAAAUGCUUAGAUAUUACAUGGAAUACCGAUUGCGAAGGCAGGUUACUACCAAUACAUUGACGCUGAUGGACGAAAGCGUGGGGAGCGAACAGG